rnacentral:rRNA from 1 species
CCAAUAGCGUAUAUUAAAGUUGUUGCAGUUAAAAAGCUCGUAGUUGAAUUUCGGGGUCAGUAGGUUGGUCAUGCCACUGGUAUGUACUGGUCUCACUGAUUCCUCCUUCCUGAUGAACUGUAAUGCCAUUAAUUUGGUGUUGCAGGGAAUCUGGACUGUUACUUUGAAAAAAUUAGAGUGUUUAAAGCAGGCUAACGCCUGAAUACCUUAGCAUGGAAUAAUGAAAUAGGACGUUCGAUCCUAUUUUGUUGGUUUCUAGGAUUGACGUAAUGAUUAAUAGGGAUAGUUGGGGGCAUUAGUAUUCAAUUGUCAGAGGUGAAAUUCUUGGAUUUAUUGAAGACUAACUACUGCGAAAGCAUUUGCCAAGGAUGUUUUCAUUAAUCAAGAACGAAAGUUAGGGGAUCGAAGACGAUCAGAUACCGUCGUAGUCUUAACCAUAAACUAUGCCGACUAGGGAUCGGAUGAUGUUAAUUUUUUAAUGACUCAUUCGGCGCCUUACG